GAGUCUGAGGUCUGACCUGAGCUCCUGGGGAGUGGCUCCCAAAUACAGUCAUUCCUUUAGGAAGAUGUGAAAAGCUCCAUGCUGCCUUAAUAUGAGUUUCUGGGUGAGUAAAACUGUGUUCAUUUAAA
rnacentral:lncRNA from 1 species